GUGAGCGCUCUCUAGGCACCCAUAAUUGGCUUAGCAGCUGUGGCUGGGUAUUUCUGUCAGCUCGAUGUCUCCUCAACUGUGAUUAUAAUAUGAUGGUUCCCAAUCACAUUUUGCAGGCACCUGAUCCUGAACCUUUUUUCCUACUGACUCAUCGCUUAGACACUAAUAUGUGACUACUUUCAGGAAACUAGGCAUGUCGCAAGUCACGACUUCACAGGAGAGGCAUUUGAACGUUUAUUUAAAUAUUUUAGCAAAAUGUGUUUUUUGUCAGAAAUGCCUUCUUGAAAUGUUUAACUUUCAUGUGCAUUAAUAACAAACGUGUAUGCCAUCUGUAAAUACAAAUAGUUGUUCAAUUAUGAGCCUAGUUGGUUUAGCCACAGAAAAAGAGAGGAACCUUCCCGCUAGCCAUGAUUGGCCGAGAUAAUGUAUGGGCUGACACGCGGCGCUAUCGACGAAGGUGAGUGGGAGAAAGUUGUGAUGGACUACUUUCAGGAGGACGAUCAUACCAUGCUGACUCUAAAAAUGAAUCAGACGAUGACUUGACACAACGGGCCAAGCAAGCUGCACAAACAAAACGGAAACGACACAGGACGUCUUAUUUAAUGAAAGGUUGCAGUCUGCCGUGAAGCAUUCAUCCAGGUACACGGUAGAACACGCCUGACUCUCCUCCACAAGUCAUACAAGGAUAAUGGUCUAAUGCCUCUCAUCAAAAAGAGAGCUGGAAAAGCAAGCACUUGUUCAGAGUGAGCGGUCUGUCUACUAGAAGAUGGUUGCUGACUGCAAUACCACCUGUCAAGACCUGCAGUUGUCUCUGGGGGCCCUACUGAACCAUCAAGCAAAGACAUCAGGAUGCAUUACAGCUUUGAUUUUGCUCAACAAGUGCACUAUCCUUCGUACCCUAUGCAGCCAGGUCCCACCUACUUUUUAACUCCUUGCAAGUGUGGCUUGUUUGGUGUCUGCUGUGAAGGAAUACCACAACAAGUCAACUACUUGAUUGAUGAAGGCAUGUCAUCCAGCAAAAGCAACAGUGCAGUCAUCAAGUCAUCAGCUGCAUGCGCCAUUUCUUCACUAACUACAGAGUUGAGAAAACAGAUGUUGACCUGAAUUGUGAAAACUGCAGUGACCAAAAAACGAACAAGUUUGUGCUCUGAUAUUGUGCCUGGCGGACCAUACACAAGCACCACCACAGUCUGGACCUUCACUUCCUGUUCACAGGCCGCACCAAGUUUGCCCCCGACUGGUGCUUUGGCCUCAUUAAGCAGUGCUUCAGAUAGACCAGAGUGAAGACUUUGUCUGAGAUUGCUGGUGUUGUGAAGGACAGCACUGUGACAGGGGUCAACAUCCCACAGCUGGUUGGACUGGAGGAUGGUACGGUGCUGGUGGAAAGCUAUGGCUGGCAACAACACCUGACUCCGUACUUCUGGCCGCUGCCACAGAUCAAGCCGUACCAGUACUUCAG
rnacentral:lncRNA from 1 species